rnacentral:lncRNA from 1 species
CAGUUCUCGCGGUUCCAAUUUUUACGGUUAGCAACCCAAAAAUCGGAAGCCUUUAUCCCAUUUUUGUCGUUUCCGUUCUCGCAGUUCUGGAUUUCAAAUAACCACGAGAACGGCUCAAAUCCAAAAGCUCCUAUAUGCCAUUAUAUCGAUUAAAUGAAAGUUACAUUUUUCUGAUUGACAUUCAAGAAUAAGAAGGGAGGAAUUGAAUUAACAAAUCGCAUAGAAGAUUAAUGGCUCAUAUAUUGAAUUAACUUCAAAGAUUCUCUCAAAUCUAUAUACAGAAGACAAAAUAGUUUGCUCAUAGCGUAUAUCAAGCUCUAUCUACAUAAACUAUAGGCUUCGUACUAACGAAAUCAAGGCAAUCUUCUCUCUAUUUAGCUUCCUAAAUUAUGAAUCCUUGCUUAAAAGAACCCAUCUUGAUCAAGUGAAGGAAGCACAGAAAUCCAAACCCAUGCUCUUGAUCCAUAGCUUCUGUUUGAAAAUGAAAUCAGAGGAAAUCAAACGAAAAUAGAAACACAGGUUACAGAUCUAUCGUGUAUGCUUGUCGAAGAAGAAGGAGAUGACAAAGAAGAUGAAGGAGAAUAAAAAUUUGAACCUCCGUACGAAGAUUGAAUUGCUUGUGUAUGGUUUUCCGUCGCCAACACCCAUGCUAUUAGAGAUUGAAUUUGUUGAAGAAGAACGAAGAAGAUUAAAAAAGGAAGGAGAUGUUUUACAUUUUACGACGAACAAAGGAAGGGGAUUUCAUGACAAAAAAUUAAGGAAGGGGAUUUCUUUUAAUGAAAGGGAUAAGAUUUGACCAGAUGCAUUUUUUAUUAGCU